GGCACCCUACGGGGGGCAGCAGUGGGGAAUAUUGCACAAUGGGGGAAACCCUGAUGCAGCGACGCCGCGUGAGUGAAGAAGCGACUCGGCGCGUAAAGCCCUGUCAGCAGGGAAGAAAAUGACGGUACCUGAAGAAGAAGCCCCGGCUAACUACGUGCCAGCAGCCGCGGUAAUACGUAGGGGGCAAGCGUUAUCCGGAUUUACUGGGUGUAAAGGGAGCGUAGACGGCAGGGCAAGUCUGGAGUGAAAGGCGGGGGCUCAACCCCCGGACUGCUCUGGAAACUGCCAGGCUGG
rnacentral:rRNA from 1 species